rnacentral:lncRNA from 1 species
UGAUAAUUGAUGAUACCAUAGUUACUUAAAACACCCUUAAGACUCCCCAGACUUGCUUCAUUCAGUUCUGAGCAUCGAGAACGGCAACAUUUACAUCUUUGAAAGCAUCUCUAGUAUUCGAGAGAUGGCAGGAACAUUUCUAGUAAUUAGGAAUGUCUAACACACCUUUCAGACGGGAAGAAGGGUACCUUUAUAGAGGCCGUUCCCUCCUCAUCUAGAGAACCGUAAAACUAUUUCUAGAUCAGUAACUUCUGAGAGUUAAAAGAAAAAUAUAAAUUAGAUAUGGGCAGACUGAGCCCGUGACUCAGGAGACUGUACCGUUUUAAAAAUAUUAUCUUUUGUGUUGGGAGAAUAAAGAUACUCCCAGACACCUGGCACACAUUCCAGAAUUAACCUUAGAGUUAUUUAUUUAAAAUAGAGGCUCUUCUGUCUGCUUCUCAGCAGAAUUUCUCCAACUAAAGUCAUGUAGGGUGAAGUUCUCUUUCUGUGUACUUUGUCUUCUCUAAACACAGGUUUUAUGGAAAUAAGUAGUUCAGUUCCAUUCGGCUAGAGAGAAGGCUCAGCAAUUGAGAACACUCGGUAUCUUGCAGAGGACCUGAGUUCUGUUCCCAGCACUCACGAGCAUCCAGGACUCUGUCUCAGGGUAUCCAAUGCUUGCUUCUGGCUUCCGCAGGCACUGGUCAUGCAUACGUAUAGGCAAAACAUUCAUAACGCAAUAAAUUAAUAAGUAAAUCUAAAAGACCUUUCCCUCACAAAUUAAAAAGAACAAGUUAAAUUCCUUCUAAUAUAUUUUGAUAUUUUCUAAAGGAGCUGGUGAAUCUCCACCACAAUUUAAAAAAAAUGACAUUGUAAUUGUAAUCUCUUCUCUUUACUAGUACUGUGAGGUUCCAUAAGGCCUGUGUUUAAUAUCUAGUCAGAUAAUUAUUAAACAUAAAAUGCUGAAGAUACCUGGAGGAUACAACGUGCGGUUUCUAAAAACAGAAUGUUUUCCUUUGUUAUACUUCACUAAUGAGUGAUUAGAUGAAGCCAGACGGGGAAGCGAGGUGAGCUUGCUUCUGAAAUAUCAUGGGCUGGGCUUCCCGUGAGGGGUAUGAGGAGAGUGCCUUCUGAAUGCUUAAGUGUUAGUGACCUUGGCCUGCCAUCUCCACAAGGUCUUCCUGUGCAACCGCAGCUUGCCUGGCCUUCUCUAAGGUAGCCCAGGCUGGCCUUGAGCUCAUAGCAAUCCUCCUGCCUUAGCUCCUGAGUGCUGUGUCUGCAGGUUUCAGUCACCACAUCCAGCUUGAACUUGUAGUUCUCAAUGGAUAAAGGAAUGGUUUGGAGAAAAUAAUUUCUUCUGCAACCUUUUUUUUUUUUUUAAUGUCUCUCUAAUUAAAAAAUCUGUUACUUCCUUAAAAGGAGCUAAUAAAGGUGGUGAUGUAUUCUUACAUCCCAGUUUCAUGCCGCCUCUAUGUCACUUUGGAGUUGUAUAUAUUCUGUUGUUUUUUUAAUUGUUAUUGUUCUGUGCCAGCAGUAUUUGUACACAAUUUAACUUAUAUUUUCUCAAGUAUUAAAAUGUCAACAUAGACCCGU